GAUUUUCUGAAAGGCUGAAGCAGGAGAGGACACUGGAUUCCAAUGCAGACCAUAAGAUGAUAAGAUGGCAAGGUUCAUUUCCUGUGCAGCUUUGAAAGAUGUGCCCUGUUAUGUUCAAGUAGGCAUCAAAGGGAAAGAGCUUGAAAGGAAAAAAGGAUGAGGAGAGAGAGCAAG